UCUCAUUUCAGAAGAAAUCAUAGGCUUAGUCAGUCUCUGUCAUAAAGUAAUACAAAACCCUUAUAUAUUACAGUAAUAACUGUGAGUGCAUUUGUGUCAAAACCAAUAGGAUGCAAUGCAUGAACGUCUUAAGGAAAGUGAACCUUUCUACACGUAAUUAUCAUUGAAACGGUGAAGAUAUGAUGAAAUUAGCAUAGAUUUUCAGACCCCACUUCAAUUUUUUUCUGCUUUCAAUUAGGGUUGUUGGGCUGUGAAUAGUUGAAAAGGGUGAAGUUGGUGUGCCAUGAACGCUCGCAAAUACAAUUCACGUGUACUGGACGUAAUAGAAGUAUUUCUUACUAACUGUUUCUGGGAUGAAGGUGCACCGCAAUAAUUUCAUUUCCAGUUUGCUUUAUUUGCUUUGACCAACAGAUCAUCAGGAUCAUUGAUUAGCAGCUUAUGUUAGGAAAUCAUAUAUCGGAAGAUGCUGGAUGGAACCUCCAUGGCAGGUUGCAACAAAUUAGGUCGAUAAAGCUAUUGGAAUCUCAGGUGAUUACUAUGAAAUCAUGAUUAAUGCCGAUAGUAUGAACAUUUGAUUGAUCUCUCUGUUGCAAAAAAUGAAGGUAAAAUCAGUUUUACAACAUGUCUCUUUCUCCCCCUUCCUCCCUCCUGCUCCUCCUCCUUGAAUCAGGACAAAGAAGAAAAGGACGACUACAUAUCAACGAACACCAUUGACGCGUUCUUGUUAGGGGGUAAAGAAAGAUGUCUUAAGGGUCUCAAUAUGGUGGAAAAUUUAGAGAGUUUGCUGCAACCCCCUCCUCUAACCAUCUCCCUCUAGGGUCAAAUGGGUCACCAUCGACUCUGUCGCUAUCUAGCUUUUUAAGUUUUUUGGGCUAUCAAACUGAAAGAUUCUGAUGACAAACUCCUGAUGAUUAUUUUAAAAUGCAUCAUUUUGCGACUUCCAAGCAUUUAAAUUGGCACCAAAAGAGUUGUAGCAACCAAUCUUGUAGGCCUGAAUAAGACCAUGCACCUUAAUUACACCC